UACGUAGGGGGCAAGCGUUGUCCGGAAUCAUUGGGCGUAAAGCGCGUGUAGGCGGUCCGGUAAGUCCGCUGUGAAAGUCGGGGGCUCAACCCUCGGAUGCCGGUGGAUACUGUCGGGCUUGAGUACGGAAGAGGCGAGUGGAAUUCCUGGUGUAGCGGUGAAAUGCGCAGAUAUCAGGAGGAACACCAAUUGCGAAGGCAGCUCGCUGGGACGUAACUGACGCUGAGACGCGAAAGCGUGGGGAGCAAACAGG
rnacentral:rRNA from 1 species